rnacentral:piRNA from 1 species
GUCUGUCCAGGCCUCGCCUGUCCGUC